rnacentral:rRNA from 1 species
AGCAGCCGCGGUAAUUCCAGCUCCAAUAGCGUAUAUUAAAGUUGUUGCAGUUAAAAAGCUCGUAGUUGAAUUUCGGGGUCAGCAAGUUGGUCGUGCCACAGGUAUGUACCGGCUUUGCUGAUUCCUCCUUCUUGUAGAACCGUAAUGCCAUUAAGUUGGUGUUGCGGGAAACAGGACUGUUACUUUGAAAAAUUAGAGUGUUUAAAGCAGGCUAACGCUUGAAUACAUUAGCAUGGAAUAAUGAAAUAGGACGACGAUCCUAUUUUGUGGUUCUAGGAUUGACGUAAUGAUUAAUAGGGAUAGUUGGGGGCAUUAGUAUUCAAUUGUCAGAGGUGAAAUUCUUGGAUUUAUUGAAGACUAACUACUGCGAAAGCAUUUGCCAAGGAUGUUUUCAUUAAUCAAGAACGAA